AAACAACAAGCCUGCCCUCAUCCUGGCAAUAUAGAUUUUGAGGAUGGCUUUGAAUCUUGGACCAAUGAUCCUGACUUACUCCUGGGCCAAGGUAGUACUCCAACCUUCUCUACUGGACCAACAACAGAUCAUACACUUCGUACUUCUGAAGGUACCUUCGCUUACGUUGAAUCUACCAACACAGCUCCAGGAGAUAUAACUCGCUUG